rnacentral:lncRNA from 1 species
UACUUUUUGCUUUGCUUUACAUACUUGUAAUCGGGCUCCGGCCCAAUUUUGUAGACUUAAUGAAGUUAAGUAUUUUCAACUUCUUCCCUCCGUACGUUAAAAUGCACUCUGAUUUAGAGUCGUAGAGUCGUAGAGUCGUAGGCCCGACGUACCUUACUCGGUAUCAUCCCAAGUCGUUAGUCGAGAUAGUCGGUAACGUGCGCCGUGGAAAAGGCAAAGUGA